CCGAUCCGAGAUCCAGUUUUCAGCAAAAUGGUAACCAGUCGGGAUUGUCCGGCACCGUCGCCGCGGAUCCACCUCUCCUCUCCCGCCGUCGUGAUUUCCUGGAUUCACCAGGUCCGCAGCCGCGAUUGUGUCUCUGAACGAAGACCGACUCUAUGGACUUGGAAAGAGGCUGGAACCACCAUUAUAGCCAGACGCUAAAAACUUAACUCGAGAAGAAGGCCACCAGGUAAGUUAAAUACUCAUAUUCAGACUCUGCACUACUCUUGGAGAGGAAAGUUCCUUUCUUGCUUCUCCAGGUCAAAAGGUUGCCCCAAACAUCAUUGCCAGUUAUAAUUAUGCCGUCUACAUAGACUAUUAGAAUGAUCAGUUUGCGUUUAGGUCUAUGUUUGUAGGUUUGUCUGGCAUUGGCUAUAGUCACAGGAUUCAACAGCUCUUGCUAACCUUUCAUUAUCUGAGACAAUUGUAGCAAAAGUGACUUGAUGAUUUUAUACAAGAAAACUGGUUCUUGCCGAGAUAUGAUGUCUUUUUAAACAUGAGGAGAUCUGCUCAUAUUUUAACUUGAUGGUUGAUGACUGUUUAGAUAUUUUGGUUGAUGGAAUAGAUAAAACGUAGGGAAAGGGAUGUGUAAUGGAAUGCAACGAUAUCUUGUAGUACUUGGAGUUGAUGCUGAAGAAACUGAUUCCCCCACAUCAGUUUAUUGCUGGACAU
rnacentral:lncRNA from 1 species